rnacentral:rRNA from 1 species
UGGGCUGCACACAUGCUACAAUGGCCGGUACAAAGGGCUGCGAUGCCGUGAGGUGGAGCGAAUCCCAAAAAGCCGGUCUCAGUUCGGAUCGGGGUCUGCAACUCGACCCCGUGAAGUCGGAGUCGCUAGUAAUCGCAGAUCAGCAAUGCUGCGGUGAAUACGUUCCCGGGCCUUGUACACACCGCCCGUCACGUCACGAAAGUCGGUAACACCCGAAGCCGGUGGCCCAACCCWUGUGGGGGGAGCCGUCGAAGGUGGGACCGGCGAUUGGGACGAAGUCGUAACAAGGUAGCCGUACCGGAAGGUGCGGCUGGAUCACCUCCUUUCUAAGGAG